ensembl:lncRNA
GUUGGAAUCUCAAGGGCACAUGAAAUGAAGAAAUAAUUCUGGACAAUUUCUGCUCUUUCUGAAAUGAAAAAAAGUAAGUAGAAGUAUCAAAGUGACAUCUCCAUCAAUUUAGAAUUAAGGAAUCGACUUUUUCUUGUCUCGAGUCAGAAAACAGCAAAAAAAAAAAAUUCUGACAACCUCAGUUUAGAAAACUGCCAUAGGGAAAGCUUCACUCCUCAGCACAGCCUUUUAUUGCAUAAGAAACAGUAUAUUAUACAAACUAAUAUGCCUGCUGAGUUAUGCUCUAUUUUACAUUAUUCAUGCCUCACCUUUCCUUUCUCUUCUUUCACUAAUUGAGCUCCUGCCUUCGUUAUUUGUACAACAGUGUCCCAGGGGAUCCUCUUGUUCUCUUCAUAAAAAUAUAACUUAAGUGAGCCCAUGAAACAAUUACAUCUUUGUAUUAACUUGUAUUAAUAGAUGUGCUGUAGCUGCAUAGCUGGAUCACUUAAAUAUAUUGGAAAAGACGUGGAGUACAUAAGAAAGCUUAUGCAGUGUUUACGCAGUCUUCCCACUUAUUUUGCCAAAACUGCAUUGCUCCAAGUCCUGUGAUGUACUGAACAAAAACAAAUUUGAGCACAUGCAAAGGCAAGCCUCUAGAGCAUACACAUAGUAGGAAAACACAAGUGUUGUUCACAAUAAAUAAUGUGACGGAGAUCUUUACAAGAAGCCUGUUUCCUAUAGGAUUUGGGUGUUCCUGGGAGGAGCCACCCAUCAGGAUGCAGUGCUCCCUGCAGGAGGGCCGGAGUGCCAAUGCUCCACAAUUGCACUUGACAAACCUCCAUCAUCUGCCAAAAGCAGCUAUGUGGAAGCUCAGCCAUAUCAUGCAAGUGGUGACAAGCAGAGGAAACAGCAUAGAACUAAUUGUGUGAGAUACAAUUUACUGGCUCAAGAAUUUACAUCCUGAUCACAAUUUACCAUGCGUUUAUCCCAAUUUUCAUAUUUCACCUCCACGCUUGAUGUUUACAAGAGCUCUGGCCCUCAUCCCCCUGCCCAGCAGGCUGCUGCUCCCACCAGCAGGUGGGUUCCUAGAACGGAAUCAUAGAAUCACUGAGGUUGGAAAGUACCUCUAAGAUCACCAAGUCCAACGUCUCCACAGUUCCUGACUGCCUCCAGGGACAGCGACUCCACCAUUCCCUGGGCAGCCUGUUCCAAUACCUCCUGCUGCACAGCAAAGCACUGUGGGUGCAAAGGGGCCCUCAGAUGGCUGCUCGCUCCCAUGUGCCAUCAGAAGCUAUAUAGGUACCCCACUCAUUCCAGUUCCUUCUGCACCCAUCUUAAUUUGAUGCUUUACUAGCAAAUGAAGGCAAAGAGAUGCAAUCACAGUGACAUGUUACAGGGCUUCACCAUGCAAAGUACACUGCUUACAGCUGCUACCACUUAAUUUUAAACUAACAAUAUGAGAUGCAGCAUCUUCUCAAACAAAUAGUCAGAAAACACCUCUAUGCUAAUUCUCCACCUUGGCAGAUCUGCAGGGAAUUCACUGUGAUUUUCUGCAGGGACUGCAAGUGGGUCACAGAUCCACAUUGUGCCACAGCAGAGCUGGCCCAGCCUGGGCUGUUUCUGAGCCACAUAUCCCCCAAACAUCCUCUGCAGGACACAGUUCUGCAGCACAUUCCUUGGGCCAUGCUCACUGUACAUGAGCUCUUUGGAUCCUAAGUAGCUCUUAACAUAUUUCACACCUGACCUGCAUGUGAAGCUGUAUUACAUCGGCCACUGUAAGAAAAGGAAUAUACACAGUAUACACACACACACACACUGUCCUGUUUCUGUUCUGCCAGAUCAGUACAUUAUAACAGAGAGGCUAUUACAGGCAGGUUUAGUUAGCUGUGCAUCAUUUCACACCUUCAUUACACUCUUUACCAGGAAAACGGAUUGCUUUUGAGCCUCUCUCCAUUCUCAUUAAACUUCCACUCUUGUGAGGUGUCAGAAUUGUAAAAUGCCUAAUAUGGCCAGCUAAUUAUAACAGUGCUCCCUGCUUUAGCCUCUUCAAUUACAUGUAUUUCUACUGGCUGAAGCAGCCAAGCUCCCACUUUGGGUUACUCAGACCAAAACUAACAAGGAGACUGGGGGUGUGCAGUGAACAGAGGACAACAUGCCCACACAGGACCUGGGAGAAAAUGAGAAAGAUCCCAGCUGCAGGACACAGCAUUUCUCAGGACACGCAACAGGCAGUCCGUGCCUAGGCAAGGCUGGAAGUUGGAGGUGCCCUAUUGCUUUCAACAUUCUUAGGUAAUGCUGAUAGCUGGAAGUCAGGCACUACAAGCCUCAUGAAGGAAGCCCUCCUUGAAGCUGCUCCAAGUAAUAGCAGCACUUAUCAGAACAAGAACCAGCAGAAAUUAGCCUAAAAUCAUAUAAAUGACACCAUUUUUGCUUUGAGACACAAGUCGCCUGAUAGCUAUGAGUUAAUUCUCUCCUUAAGCAUCACUGCAUUCUUGCACGUAUGGUAAGACCUGUGCAAACAUCUGCUUGUAGCAGCUCCUGGGGAUCAAACACUGGAAGCCUCCAUCUAGUUUGACUUGGUCAUUUCUCCCAUCUUCUUGCAGCCAUGGAAAGCAAAGAGAAGACCAACCAGAAGUCUACAACCCUCACAGAGAACAAACGGCACCCAUGUCCCUCAAACAGUACAGUAUUGUGCAGCCAACAUGAAGCUUACUAGCACAGAUAUUUGGCAAUGGAGAAGCCUGAUGGUUUUUUGACCACAGCUGGAUGAGGAUGAGCUCUGAUCACCCAGUCUGACUCCCAGGACUGAGCCAUUCCACCAGGUCCCAGCCUGCUCAAAGAAGCCUUGAUUUAAAGUUUCUCAAAGCAGCAAAUCCAAUGGGACUCAAAGACUUUGUAAGGAUAAACCACCCUCCUCCUUCACAUCUCCCCACAAAAAGAUGUUUAAUGAAGCGACACAUGGAUAUGAGAUGCCCCUGUUAUUUCUUCUGCCCAGUCUCUAUCGUUUUCAAUCUCAGAACUAUUGAAUAAAUGGAAAUCAAGUCACCAGCCCUGUUUUGCACUUCUUCAGCACAGCUCCCACUGGAGUUCAUGAGAAAUGUGCAUAAGGUACACACAGGAGGCUCAGGUCUCCUCUUCCCCACAUUGUCUGCAUGGAAGAACUGAAAAGGAAUGUUUUCAUUGUUCACAGCUAUCAUCUACUUUUUAACCAAAUAUUGCCAUUAAUAAAGCACACUUUCUAAACGAACCAUACUCCAUCAUGGCCACUCUUUCACACAGUUUCCCCCUGCUUUGGGGCCUUAUGUUAAUACUCACAUCAAUAUGGAUGGGAAGGAAUGGCCUUAACUUGUGCCAGGGAAGGUUCAGCUUGGAUAUUAGGAAAAC